rnacentral:rRNA from 1 species
UACGUAGGGUGCAAGCGUUGUCCGGAAUUAUUGGGCGUAAAGAGCUCGUAGGCGGUCUGUCGCGUCUGCUGUGAAAACUCGGGGCUUAACCCCGGGCCUGCAGUGGGUACGGGCAGACUAGAGUGCGGUAGGGGAGACUGGAAUUCCUGGUGUAGCGGUGAAAUGCGCAGAUAUCAGGAGGAACACCGGUGGCGAAGGCGGGUCUCUGGGCCGUAACUGACGCUGAGACACGAAAGCGUGGGGAGCGAACGGG